rnacentral:rRNA from 1 species
UGGGGAAUAUUGGACAAUGGGCGAAAGCCUGAUCCAGCCAUGCCGCGUGUGUGAAGAAGGCCUUUUGGUUGUAAAGCACUUUAAGCGAGGAGGAGGCUACUUAGAUUAAUACUCUAGGAUAGUGGACGUUACUCGCAGAAUAAGCACCGGCUAACUCUGUGCCAGCAGCCGCGGUAAUACAGAGGGUGCGAGCGUUAAUCGGAUUUACUGGGCGUAAAGCGUGCGUAGGCGGCUUUUUAAGUCGGAUGUGAAAUCCCUGAGCUUAACUCAGGAAUUGCAUUCGAUACUGGGAAGCUAGAGUAUGGGAGAGGAUGGUAGAAUUCCAGGUGUAGCGGUGAAAUGCGUAGAGAUCUGGAGGAAUACCGAUGGCGAAGGCAGCCAUCUGGCCUAAUACUGACGCUGAGGUACGAAAGCAUGGGGAGCAAACAGG